rnacentral:rRNA from 1 species
UACGAAGGGGGCUAGCGUUGCUCGGAAUCACUGGGCGUAAAGGGUGCGUAGGCGGGUUUUUAAGUCAGGAGUGAAAUCCCAAGGCUCAACCUUGGAACUGCCUUUGAUACUGGGGAUCUCGAGUCCGGAAGAGGUUGGUGGAACUGCGAGUGUAGAGGUGAAAUUCGUAGAUAUUCGCAAGAACACCAGUGGCGAAGGCGGCCAACUGGUCCGGUACUGACGCUGAGGUGCGAAAGCGUGGGGAGCGAACAGG